rnacentral:rRNA from 1 species
UACAGGGGGUGCUAGCGUUGUUCGGAAUUACUGGGCGUAAAGGGCGCGUAGGCGGCCAUGUAAGUCAGGAGUGAAAUCCCGGAGCUUAACUCCGAAACUGCAUUUGAUACUGCGGUGCUCGAGGACUGGAGAGGAGACUGGAAUUUACGGUGUAGCAGUGAAAUGCGUAGAGAUCGUAAGGAAGACCAGUGGCGAAGGCGGGUCUCUGGACGAGUUCCUG